rnacentral:rRNA from 1 species
GACGAACGCUGGCGGCGUGCUUAACACAUGCAAGUCGAACGGAAAGGCCUGCUUUCCCUUGUGGAUUGCGGGUACUCGAGUGGCGAACGGGUGAGUAACACGUGAGUGAUCUGCCCCCAACUUGGGUAUAAGCCUGGGAAACUGGGUCUAAUUCCCGAUAGGACUGCAGGGUGGUGCCUGUGGUGGAAAACGAUUUUCUAGUGGUUGGGGAUGAGCUCGCGGCCUAUCAGCUUGUUGGUGGGGUAAUGGCCUACCAAGGCGGCGACGGGUAGCCGGCCUGGGAGGGUGGACGGCCACAUUGGGACUGAGAUACGGCCCAGACUACUACGGGAGGCAGCAGUGGGGAAUAUGGCACAAUGGGCGGAAGCCUGAUGCAGCGACGCCGCGUGGGGGAUGACGGCCUUCGGGUUGUAAACUCCUUUCGACCGCGAGGAAGCCACCUGGUUGGAAGGGUGGUGACGGUAGUGGUAGAAGAAGCACCGGCUAACUACGUG